rnacentral:rRNA from 1 species
UACGGAGGGUGCGAGCGUUGUCCGGAAUCAUUGGGCGUAAAGGGCGCGUAGGUGGCCCGGUCAGUUCGUGGUGAAAGCGCGGGGCUCAACCCUGCGUCGGCCAUGAAUACUGCCGCGGCUGGAGCACUGUAGAGGCAGGCGGAAUUCCAGGUGUAGCGGUGAAAUGCGUAGAUAUCUGGAGGAACAUCAGUGGCGAAGGCGACACCCUGGACUCAUACUGACACUGAGGUGCGAAAGCGUGGGGAGCAAACAGG